rnacentral:rRNA from 1 species
GACGAACGCUGGCGGCGCGCUUAACACAUGCAAGUCGAACGGAAAGGCCUCCUUUGGGGGGUAGUCGAGUGGUGCACGGGUGAGUAACACGUGAGUAACCCGUCCUUGAUCUUGGGCUAACUUCAGGAAACUGGGGGGAAUCUCGGACAGGUGCCCGUGCUGCCUGGUGGGGGGUGGCAAGUUUCGGCGGCUGGGGUCGGACUCGCGGCGUAUCAGUCUGUUGGUGGGGUCGUGGCGGACCGAGGCUUUCACGGGUAGCCGGCCUGAGAGAGUGAGCGGCCGCAUUGGGACUGAGAUACGGCGCAGACACCUACGGGGGGCAGCAGUGGGGAAUAUUGCACAAGGGGUGGAGGCCUGAUGCAGCAGCGCCGUGGGCGGGAGUACGGCCUUCGGGUUGUAAACCGCGUUCGCUCAUGGCGGGGCGUUGUGUGACGGUAGUGGGUGAAGAAGCACCGGCUAACUACGUG